UAAAGACUGAAGGUAAACUUACCUCUAAAGAAGAUAACUUGGUUAUCGAAACGCACGUCAGACAGUGUAAUUGUAAAUGUUGGUGUAAACAGUGUAUUCAGUAAAAAUACGAGGGUUGUCUUUAAAGUUUUUACAAAAAGUGAAAUAAAAACUAGCAGGUUUGUUUUAAUACUUUUCGAACUUUUCGCCCUUAACUCUAUACGCUUAAACUAAGUCUGGAUUUUUUCCAUUCUGAAGCUGAUAUUCUAGAAACAUGAUUUUUACAGUCUUCAACAACUUCUUCAGUUAUUUGAAGUGCUUUAUGGAAGAUAUCUUCCUCAUACCUAAAUGUUCAUUCAAAAUAUGUGAGUGCUUAAUGGAAUGCAUCACAAGUGAGAUAUCAUAACCUAGAAAUGAGACAUUUUUUAACAAUAACAACUCAAGGAAGAACCUGAAAAAGAGCGCAGAUCUAAUUGAACCUAAUACAACUACGAUUCUCGUGUAAACAGGAAUAGAUGGAAUUUUGGUAUAUCACCGAAAAUUAUUCAAAGAUAUUUCCAUCCAUUUGGUUUUGUAAUAUCCCCUUAAAACGAAAUUCCUGUGCAACAAAAUUAUGAAAAAUACAGUGGCUUCCAG